AAAUAAUGUUUAACAAUACAUAUUUUAGAUUCUGAGUGGAACGAUGAAUGUAUAAUUCAGUGGGGCCGAACCCAUGUAUUAGGUGUGGCAGCCGCCACACCUAUUUUAGGGGUGGUUGUACCCCCAAAAUCGGUGGGUAAUCGUCAUCCUAAGUAUACAAAUAUAUUGUACAAAUAUAAGAGAGAUGACUUCCUAGUGUGUCGUAGCGUGCAGUGUGUACUGUGUGAUUACGUUAGAAAUAGCCAAUAACUAAUUAAUAAUUUAAUUAAUAGUUUUACCAUUAAUAAAUAAAUUCUAGUAUUUAUAAUCAAUAGUGUUGUGUAAAAAGUCAAAAAUCUCCGAUAAUACAGUACAUUUACUAUUUUUAUUUUACAAGUGAUAAAACAACUCUUACCUAUUAACUGAAAUAGGGGGGGGGGUGAUUGCCCCCGGCACACAUGAAUGAAUUUUAUUUUACAACGAUUUGCGCUUUUAUAUUUUAUUUUAUGUCUGCAAUUACCUAUUAAGAUAGUAAAAAUGCCUUUAUACAAUUAUUUUAAUAUGAUUGUCCUUCGCCAGGUGUAUUUAUAUAAUAUACCGAAAUCAAUAUAUUAUACACAUUAUUACUAAACUAAAAAAAUAUUUCAAAUUCACUAAAAUAUCAUAUUAUACAACUCUGCAGAUUAUUUACAAUAAUUGGAUUAUUGUUGACAUCAAUCGGAGCAGGUGGUGUAAGACCAUGCGUCUGUGCUUUUGGCGGUGAUCAAUUUGAGAUGACAGAUCAAGAAGAUCGUCUGCAAAUGUACUUUUCAAUAUUUUACUUUACUAUCAAUUUAGGGUCAUUGUUAUCGUCAUCAAUUACACCGGAGUUAAGGAAAUCAGUUCAGUGUUUUGGCAAAGAUUCAUGUUUUCCAUUAGCGUUUGGGGCGCCUGCUCUUCCUAUGAUGAUCUCAAUAGUAUUGUUUGUAAGUGCAAAGAACCUGUAUAAGAUCAUUAAACCCACGUCCAGUGUCAUUACAACUUCAAUUGGAUGCAUAUUUCACGCAUUGAGAAAAAAAAUAACCGCUUCUUCAAAUGAAGCGAAAAGGAAAGAUUGGUUGGAAUAUGCAGAUGAUAAGUACAAUACACAUGAAAUAUCUGAUUUGAGAUCAGCUUUGAAUGUUUUAUUUUUGUUAAUUCCAAUCCCAAUGUUUUAUACACUUUUAGAUCAACAAAGUUCUCGUUGGGUUUUGCAAGGAACAUUAAUGAAUGGAAAAAUCGAUUUUUUAAAUUGGACUAUAAAGCCUGAUCAAAUUCAUUUAGUUAACCCAUUGUUCGUUUUGAUAUUUAUACCAUUUUUUAAUGUGGCCAUCUAUCCACUUUUGUAUAAAAUUGGUAUAAAUACAGCUUUUAGAAAAAUCAUUCUCGGUGGAAUGUUUGCUGCACUAUCAUUUGCAAUUGCUGCUGUUGUCCAAUACACGAUAAUUGGCCAAGCCUUUUCCAUACCGUCAAAUGAAAGCCAACUAAGAAUAUACAACAAUAUUGAUUGCAAUGUAUCCAUAUCCGGUUCCUUGGUUGGAAACUUCAGUAUUGAAAAAUUAGAUGUACUUCAUAUUAAUUAUAAUACAACUGUGUUUAAUGAAACUGACGUCUUAUCCAUAGACUUACUUCCUUCUUGUGAAUUAAAAUCGAAUACAUUGAAACAACAAGUUUUCAUCGAAAAAGAGACGGUUUCGUCAUAUUUGUUAACGUCUAAAAAUAAUGUUGAUAUUGAAUUAAUACAUUUAAGCGAAUUGAAGAAAUUAAAGAACGGAAAUUCAAAUCUUAGGAUUUUGCAUGAUAAUUUCUCCGGCCAAAACAUUGCAUUAAGGAAUACUAAUAAUAAAUUGUCUGAAAUAAGUUUUAAACUUUCAACGAACCGAGAUCAAACUUAUGAAUUACCUGUCGGAACUUAUGACAUAUAUUUGGAUAAUGAACCUAUUUUGCAAAAUGUUGAAUUUCUCCCCGUUAGUAUUAAUGACCUAUUAUUUCACCAUAACUUUAACCACACGAGUGCCAAGUUGAUCACUUUAGAAAAAGGUAAAUAUAUCCAUAUUCUAUGGCAAGUUCCGCAAACAAUUUUAAUUACAGUGGCUGAAGUAAUGUCUCUGGUCACAUUAUAUGAAUUCGCAUUCACCCAAGCUCCAUUGAGUAUGAAGUCAUUUCUUUCAGCAGCCAAUUUGUGUGCAGGGGCAGUUGGAAAUUUAUUCGUUGUUUUUUUUUCGAAAAUUGGACUAUUUGAAAAUCAAGGUCACGAAUUCCUAUUUUAUGCAGUUUUAAUGGUUUUGGAUAUGAUACUACUUAUGGCUAUGAGCACCAAAUACAAGUAUAAAGGUGUAAGCACACAAUGAAUCUAAAAAAUAAACAGCAGAUUUGAAAUAUACUUAAUUUUGCACGAUUAAAGACGCAGUUUUGCACCAAAAGACUAUUUAAACUAUAAUAUAAAUAAAUGUAAAAAAUAUAUUUUAGAUUCUGAGCGGAGCGAGGAAGCUAUAGUGGCUUUACAAUGGUGUUUAUUUUAUUUUUUUUAUCCCAUAUACAACAUUUUUAACCAGAUUAUUUAAUGCUACAGGAUAAACUACCAACAAAUUAUGAAAACCAGCUAAAAAUGGGAUUUUAAUUUCUAACGCUCUGUUUAUCACCAAUGCAACGAAUAAAAAGCAGGUAAGUGGAUGUCACUCUGCUGUGCAGUAGAUUACAUGUGGGCCAUUGUAUAAUGGAUUGUAUUAGACUUGAA